AUUGAACGCUGGCGGCAGGCCUAACACAUGCAAGUCGAGCGGAGCGGCGGACGGGUGAGUAAUGACUAGGAAUCUGCCUGGUAGUGGGGGAUAACGUCCGGAAACGGGCGCUAAUCCGGCAUACUAUCAGAUGAGCCUAGGUCGGAUGGGUUAGUGGGUGGGGUAAAGGCCUACCAAGGAGACGAUCCGUAACUGGGCUGAGAGGAUGAUCAGUAACACUGGAACUGAGACACGGUCCAGACUCCUACGUGAGGCAGCAGUGGGGAAUAUUGGACAAUGGCCGAAAGCCUGAUCCAGCCAUGCCGCGUGUGUGAAGAAGGUCUUCGGAUUGUAAAGCACUGUAAGUUGGGAGGCGUUACCAACAGAAUAAGCACCGGCUAACUUCGUGCCAGCAGCCGCGGUAAUAC
rnacentral:rRNA from 1 species